UACGUAGGCAGCGAGCGUUGUUCGGAGUUACUGGGCGUAAAGAGUGCGUAGGCGGUUUUCUAAGUUUGGUGUGAAAUCUCCCGGCUUAACUGGGAGGGUGCGCCGAAGACUGGAAGGCUUGAGUAUGGGAGAGGUAAGCGGAAUUCCUGGUGUAGCGGUGAAAUGCGUAGAUAUCAGGAGGAACACCCGUGGCGAAGGCGGCCCUCUGGGACGGUACUGACGCUGAGACGCGAAAGCGUGGGGAGCGAACAGG
rnacentral:rRNA from 1 species